AUUGAACGCUGGCGGCAGGCCUAACACAUGCCAGUCGAACGGUAACAGGAAACAGCUUGCUGUUUCGCUGACGAGUGGCGGACGGGUGAGUAAUGUCUGGGAAACUGCCUGAUGGAGGGGGAUAACUACUGGAAACGGUAGCUAAUACCGCAUAACGUCGCAAGACCAAAGAGGGGGACCCUCGGGCCUCUUGCCAUCGGAUGUGCCCAGAUGGGAUUAGCUUGUUGGUGGGGUAACGGCUCGCCAAGGCGACGAUCCCUAGCUGGUCUGAGAGGAUGACCAGCCACACUGGAACUGAGACACGGUCCAGACUCCUACGGGAGGCAGCAGUGGGGAAUAUUGCACAAUGGGCGCAAGCCUGAUGCAGCCAUGCCGCGUGUAUGAAGAAGGCCUUCGGGUUGUAAGGUACUUUCAGCGGGGAGGAAGGGAGUAAAGUUAAUACCUUUGCUCAUUGACGUUACCCGCAGAAGAAGCACCGGCUAACUCCGUG
rnacentral:rRNA from 1 species